rnacentral:misc_RNA from 1 species
AAGUCGUAACAAGGUUUCCGUAGGUGAACCUGCGGAAGGAUCAUUAACACGUAUCCAAACGUUAAACAACCCCGUGAACAUACAACCUGCUCUGGUCGCCCGCUCGCAUGGACAAGCCCAGUAAAUCAAGCCCCGGAAAGUUUUUGAUUUGGGACCUCUGUGCGCGUGAGAAAAACUGACAGCGAUUCAUAGAAGCGGUAGGUCAAGUGACACGGCGUCCCCAAGUGACCAGUGAAUGAAAGUGUCGCUGGAGCGUCAAGGACGACUCUUCAAGAUUGCUAGAGGUCGACCACCGACCGGCUUCCGAACCCCACUUUAUUGCCUUGCCUGUAAGCAUCCAUACGGAUGGGCAGGCCCCCCGAACAACUGUUAACAAUGGAUAUCUUGGUUCUC